UAUGAUCAGAUUCUCAUUUUAGACAUUAAAAGAGAUAUGUGCAGAUGAAAGGAGCUCUAUUAUUUUGUCCAGCACAGUGCCGAUCAAUUUGAGAGGCUAUUAAAAGAGAUAUGUGCAGAUGAAGAUGGAGAUCUUUUAAUUGAUUCAUCAAUAAAAAGGAUUCCAAAAGUUUUUGUUGUAUCAACUUUAGUCAACGUGGCACCAGCUCAGCCGUUUAUAUUUCGUAAUUAUCAGUACCCUGUUGGCACACAACAAGUUCCUUUGACAAUUGUCCAGGUGUAUUUAGGUGGGAAGAUGGUGCUAUUGUGGCAAAUAACCCUACAAUAUUUGCAAUACGUGAAGCACACCAUCUAUGGCCAUAUGCAAAAACGACGAUCUUGUUUCAAUCGGUUGUUGUUCUGUUCCAAUCCAAUUGAUGAACGUUGUGAUAUGGAGUUGGAUGAAACGGACCACACAGUCUGGCUUAAGUUGGAGGCAUCUACAGAGGAGUAUAUCCAGAACAAUUCUACAGCUUUUAAAAAAGUAUGUGAGAGAUUAUUGUUGAACCAUAGUGAUGAAAAGGUUUUGGAUAAUCUCACCUCUCAGCCUUCUUUGAAGUCAAGGGGUCCAAAUACAUGUAUAAUUAUUGUAGCAUCCUACUUUCAUUUCUCUUUAUUAUAGUAUUGUGCUUUGAAAAAUCCUUCCAGUCCUCCGAAAUCACCCACUGUCCCCAGACAGCUUUACGUGCCUGUUAGAAUAUUGCAUGAGAAAUUACAUAAUUCUCCUUAGGUUGGUGUUGUUCACCUGGCUCUCCAAAAUGAUACCACUGGCUCCAUAUUAAGGUCCGUAUUUCUCUUCCUUCAAUCCUCCCUCUUUUUAAUAUUUGUAUCCAACACUAAUUAUUUCAUUAUGAGAACUUGAAGAGCUUACGGUGAGUUGUGAUGAUGCCAUGCCACCUGUCAACAAAUUUGAGGUGGAUGCCUUGGCAAAUGUUUUAAAAGAAGCUGAAUCUUUGAAUGUUAACCAAUUUGGGUUUGUGAAUUCUCAUCUAUGUGACUUGGAAUCCGGUGAAGAUGACUAUCUGCAUCAAGUGGAUUCUUUUGUAGAAGUUGCAAUCCAGAAGCAGAAAGAACGGUUGUCAAUUGAGAUACAGCUCAGCAAAGUUGAUGCAUGAAUCAUGCGAACUGUAAUUGGAAUGCAGCAGUUGGAAUCUAAGCUCAGUCCUGCAUCUUCAGGGUAUACAAACCCUAAAAAAUUGGCAAUUGAAGGUGGAAGCAAUGGUGCCCUACUUGAUGGAGCUUGCAUUAAUUAGAGGCCCGAUCUAUUCGAAUGUGCACUUGCUCAUGUUGGUGUAAUGGACAUGCUCAGGUUUCACAAGUUCACAAUCGGUCAUGCGUGGACUUCUGACUAUGGUUGUUCAGACAAAGAAGCCAUGUAUGGCUUACACAUGGUCCUAGGACCUUACGUCAUCACAAGCCACAUGAUCCUUUAUACUUCUUGCAACUUAUGACAAACAUCUUAUCUGCGUGUCACUAACUACCCAAAAAUUCAAAUUUCUAUAUAGCCACCAACCAAAAGUUCCACUUGUCUUAAUAAAUUAGCUUGAGGUUCUGCCCUCUUUCCCCAGUUCCACUUGUGAACUUAACAUAAUCCCCAAAAGUAACCUUUAUUAAGGGUGGGGGUAGUCUAUCUGAAAACUGAAUAAAGCGUAUUUCAUCCGCCCUCCUUGGUAAUGUUCACAAGAUAACUCUCAGGUUCGUGGCUUUACUUUAAAUUCAAGCACAUUCAACCCAAACUACAAACUACUAUUAGUCAAAACAGCAAAUUCCAGCUGCUGUAACAACAAUACCCGUAAGACUAUCAUCAUACUUCACGUAUCUUACUCUUUACUUGAUUUUGGACUCAUAGUUGUGCCUCUAGUAAAGUAUUUCAUGCAGGUUCGUAUAUUUAUGAGUUUCUAUUGAUUGUUACCAUGUACAUGCAUGAGAUCUUUAUUUUCCCCUAUUUCGACUUUUCUUUAGGCACUCCUAGAAGUUUUGGCAGAGAAUGAUGCCACAGAGAAGUCGGAUGCUGCAAGAGAUGCUUUUCUAGCAGAACUUGCUCUAGAUUAUAAAAAGGGGACUCUUAAUGAUAAGCUAAAAGAUGCAAGAAAGAACAGGGAUUACAGAAAAAUAAAGGAUUCUAAGGCUAGAAACAAUAGUGAGCUACAUAUUUUAGCCCAUGAGAAUGCAGAAUUUGUUGAUGAAAAUGAAGAUGCUUUUAACCAACUGAAAGAUGAAGCAAUGCGUAGAGAAAUUGAGUUUUUGUGCUUAUUUUUUAGGACAGAUGAUUAGUAAAACUUGUACAUUUUUUUUGAUGCACAAAGUCAAAACUACUUGAUGGUUAAGUUUUUGUGCACUGUAUUGUAUUUUUUUUUGUAUAUGCAUAAAGUUUACAAAUUAUCCAUUUAUGACAUUGAACCCUUUGAGAUUUAUCCAUUUGUCUACUAUUGGAAUGA